AUUGAACGCUGGCGGCAGGCCUAACACAUGCAAGUCGAACGGUAACAGGAAGCAGCUUGCUGCUUUGCUGACGAGUGGCGGACGGGUGAGUAAUGUCUGGGAAACUGCCCGAUGGAGGGGGAUAACUACUGGAAACGGUAGCUAAUACCGCAUAACGUCGCAAGACCAAAGAAGGGGACCUUAGGGCCUCUUGCCAUCGGAUGUGCCCAGAUGGGAUUAGCUAGUAGGUGGGGUAACGGCUCACCUAGGCGACGAUCCCUAGCUGGUCUGAGAGGAUGACCAGCCACACUGGAACUGAGACACGGUCCAGACUCCUACGGGAGGCAGCAGUGGGGAAUAUUGCACAAUGGGCGCAAGCCUGAUGCAGCCAUGCCGCGUGUAUGAAGAAGGCCUUCGGGUUGUAAAGUACUUUCAGCGGGGAGGAAGGGAGUAAAGUUAAUACCUUUGCUCAUUGACGUUACCCGCAGAAGAAGCACCGGCUAACUCCGUG
rnacentral:rRNA from 1 species